GACGAACCGUCCGAACGUUAUUCGGAAUCACUGGGCUUAAAGGGUGCGUAGGCGGGCGCGGAAAGUUGGGUGUGAAAUCCCUCGGCUUAACCGAGGAACUGCGCCCAAAACUACCGUGCUUGAGGGAGAUAGAGGUGAGCGGAACUUAGGGUGGAGCGGUGAAAUGCGUUGAUAUCCUAAGGAACACCGGUGGCGAAAGCGGCUCACUGGAUCUCUUCUGACGCUGAGGCACGAAAGCGUGGGAGCAACAGGG
rnacentral:rRNA from 1 species